AGAUCCUUCGCUUUAGCAGGAUUUAUGAUUCACGAAUUCGCCAUUGAUAAUGUUGAAUUCAACAUGCCAUUGUGAUCGACCUCAAUGACAAGCUUUCAAGAAGGAUGUGAGAUGCUGAAUCCAAACAACAACUAAGAUAACUGUAAAUGUUUCUACAACUAUACUCUGAAACUCACAUGAAUAUUUAAUGAGUGUCAUGAUGACCUUAUGAGAAUAGUUCUGUAAUACCCACGCAAUGGGUGAGCAGCACCCAUGACACGAUGCAGCUGAUUGGCUGAGAACAUGCAUGAAGACCUUCAGAUGCAGGCAUCCAGAUAUGGCCUAUAGUAAACAUACAAGGUGCAAAGUAAGUAAUCAUUUCUGCACAAAUCUUGAACCCUAUAUGUAUUGUCGUGACCCUUCUUGUUCCAAAAAUCCAAGAUACCCCACUGUUAAGAGCCCCUGGAAGGCAACUGUCGUGGAACACACACCCCUCCACUUUCCCUUAAGUGUGCACACACACACACAUAUCUCACCCACCCACCCAUCCAUACACCCAGACAAAGACCAUCUUUGUUCACCCCGCUGUGCUCCAUGUCUUUUGAGAUGGGCUGAAACUGCUCGUUAAAAUCUGUGACAUCUAUUGGGGAGAUCGACCCCCUGUUGCUCACGGUUUACAACUCUCCCCCACCUCGUCCAACGCCCCCCCAACCCUGGCAGAAAAGAGGAGCACAGCCUUCCACAUAAGAAAAGCAGCCAAGAAUUCCAACGACAGCCGAUGACUUCUUGAAUGAGAGAGCUUUAUUAGCAGUCAGAUUCGGAACAGACCUCCCUCGUGCAAGUUGACAGUCCCAGCAGCCUCAGUGUCAGCACUGGGGACGCUCUCAUCGCUGAAGUCCAUCAGAGCAGAGACUGAGAACACCAGCUCAGCUCCAUUCCCAGGCUGCUCCGUUCAUUCAAUCAAUACAUUAAUCUCCCAGUUAAACUCCAAAUGAAUACGUCAACAGAGGGUGACAAUUAAUGCAGCACCUCGUUAGGUAUCGGGCCACACUGUUAUCAGGAUCAACGAGGAAGGCUGUUAAACCAGCAUCUUUUCACAGCUUCGAAAUCAAUUAACUUCUAAUGAGAAAAACAAAGAUUUUUUUUUACAUUGAUUUCAUCCCCUCAAACGAGUUGAUGUGAGACCGCAAUACAUUUUGUGAGAGAGCCAGUCUACAAAAUGCAUUUAAUUACAAUUUCUAAAGCCAUGAAACUGUGUCCCUUUUAUAAUCUCACAGCAGAUAUUAGAAUUGGACACAAAGCUUGGCACAAAGUGGUUGACAAACUUUGAAAUUUUAAAGGGAUAGAUCACCCCAAAAUGAAAUUCUGUCAUCUUUUACUAAUUUACUCUGGCUUUUUGUCAUUACAAUAAAAGUCAAUGGGGUCCAAAUUAGUUUUGGAAGAAAGUCAUACAGGUUUGGAAUGACAUGAGGGUGAGUAAAUAAUGACAAUUUUCAUUUUGGGGUGAACUAUUUCACUAAGCAUGUAUGCGUGUUUGUGACUUAUCAGAUAUCACUAACAGACAGCAGGUGAUGAAGAAGAUGUGACACUAAAAAAAGAAGGUAUAUCUGAUGUUCCCUCUCCCAAAUUCGUUCAAACGCUGGCAUAACAUUAUACUUCCCAGAGGCGACAAGUGCUGCAAACCCUGAACAAAUGGUUCAAACCAAUAGAAAAGGAAGCUUGUGUCUGUAGCAGAAAGGACAGUCGCCAUGGGGGGAGAGGUGAGACGUGCGUCGACAUCACUCGGACAUUCAUGUCCCGUACCUGGAUA